CCUACGGGAGGCAGCAGUGAGGAAUAUUGGUCAAUGGUCGGGAGACUGAACCAGCCAAGCCGCGUGAGGGAGGAAGGUACAGAGUAUCGUAAACCUCUUUUGUCAGGGAACAAAGGCGGGGACGUGUCCCCGGAUGAGUGUACCUGAAGAAAAAGCAUCGGCUAACUCCGUGCCAGCAGCCGCGGUAAUACGGGGGUUGCGAGCGUUAUCCGGAUUUAUGGGGUUUAAAGGGUGCGCGGGCGGUAUGUUAAGUCAGAGGUCAAAGCCCGGGGCUCAACCCCGGCCCGCCGUUGAAACUGGCAGUCUCGAGUUGGAGAGAGGUAUGCGGAAUGCGCGGUGUAGCGGUGAAAUGCAUAGAUAUCGCGCAGAACUCCGAUUGCGAAGGCAGCAUGCCGGCUCCACACUGACGCUGAGGCACGAAAGCGUGGGUAUCGAACAGGAUUAGAUACCCUGGUAGUC
rnacentral:rRNA from 1 species